UACGUAGGCAGCGAGCGUUGUUCGGAUUUACUGGGCGUAAAGGGCGCGUAGGCGGUCGUGACAAGUCACUUGUGAAAUCUCCGGGCUUUAACUCGGAACGGUCAAGUGAUACUGUCGGACUAGAGUACAGAAGGGGCAACUGGAAUUCUCGGUGUAGCGGUGAAAAUGCGUAGAUAUCAGGAGGAACACCGGUGGUGUAGACGGCUCACUGGACCGUAAACUGACGCUGAGAACACGAAAAGCGUGGGUAGCAAACAGG
rnacentral:rRNA from 1 species